rnacentral:rRNA from 1 species
CUACGGGUCGCUCCAGUGAGGAAUAUUGCACAAUGGGGGGAACCCUGAUGCAGCAACGCCGUGUGGAGGAUGACGCAUUUCGGUGUGUAAACUCCUUUUAUAUGUCAAGAAAAUGACGGUAGCAUAUGAAUAAGCACCGGCUAACUCCGUGCCAGCAGCCGCGGUAAUACGGAGGGUGCAAGCGUUACUCGGAAUCACUGGGCGUAAAGGACGCGUAGGCGGGUUGGAAAGUCAGGUGUGAAAUCCUACAGCUUAACUGUAGAACUGCACUUGAAACUUCUAAUCUAGAGUAUGGGAGGGGGAGAUGGAAUUAGUGGUGUAGGGGUAAAAUCCGUAGAUAUCACUAGGAAUACCUAAAGCGAAGGCGAUCUCCUGGAACAUUACUGACGCUAAGGCGUGAAGGCGUGGGGAGCAAACAGGAUUAGAUACCCGUGUAGUC